rnacentral:rRNA from 1 species
AUGAACGCUGGCGGCGUGCCUAAUACAUGCAAGUCGAGCGAACGGACGAGAAGCUUGCUUCUCUGAUGUUAGCGGCGGACGGGUGAGUAACACGUGGAUAACCUACCUAUAAGACUGGGAUAACUUCGGGAAACCGGAGCUAAUACCGGAUGAUAUUUUGAACCGCAUGGUUCAAAAGUGAAAGACGGUCUUGCUGUCACUUAUAGAUGGAUCCGCGCUGCAUUAGCUAGUUGGUAAGGUAACGGCUUACCAAGGCAACGAUGCAUAGCCGACCUGAGAGGGUGAUCGGCCACACUGGAACUGAGACACGGUCCAGACUCCUACGGGAGGCAGCAGUAGGGAAUCUUCCGCAAUGGGCGAAAGCCUGACGGAGCAACGCCGCGUGAGUGAUGAAGGUCUUCGGGUCGUAAAACUCUGUUAUUAGGGAAGAACAUAUGUGUAAGUAACUGUGCACAUCUUGACGGUACCUAAGCAGAAAGCCACGGCUAACUACGU